rnacentral:tRNA from 1 species
UGUUAUGUGGCUUAGUGGGUUAAAGCGCUGGACUGGUGAUCCGAAGUCGUGGGUUCGAAUCCCACCAAAACAA